UUCGCCUGUUUAUCAAAAACAUAGCUAUAUGACAUACAUAUUUAGUGAUUUCUGCUCAAUGAUUAUUUAAAUAGCCGCAGUACCCUGACUGUGCAAAGGUAGCAUAAUCAAUUGGCUCAUAAUUGGAGUCUGGCAUGAAUGAAAGAAUAGGGAGUGACUGUUUCUUAAUAACUAUUAAAAAUUGAUUAGAAAGUGAAAAUGCUUUUAUAUAAGUAUUAGACGAGAAGACCCUAGAAAUUUUUUGUUGAAUUGUGUUAACAUUUUGUUGGGGCGACAGAGUAACAAACAUUUAACUUACUUGGUUUGUUGGAAGUAUCUAUACAGUAAAAGUAAAUUACUCUAGGGAUAACAGCAUAAUUUUAAUUAAGUUUGUGACCUCGAUGGGGAUUAGGAAAAUAUAAGUUAGAAGAUAUAUA
rnacentral:rRNA from 1 species